GAGUAACGCGUAGGUAACCUGCCUACUAGCGGGGGAUAACUAUUGGAAACGAUAGCUAAUACCGCAUAACAGCAUUUAACUCAUGUUAGAUGCUUGAAAGGAGCAAUUGCUUCACUAGUAGAUGGACCUGCGUUGUAUUAGCUAGUUGGUGAGGUAACGGCUCACCAAGGCGACGAUACAUAGCCGACCUGAGAGGGUGAUCGGCCACACUGGGACUGAGACACGGCCCAGACUCCUACGGGAGGCAGCAGUAGGGAAUCUUCGGCAAUGGGGGCAACCCUGACCGAGCAACGCCGCGUGAGUGAAGAAGGUUUUCGGAUCGUAAAGCUCUGUUGUAAGAGAAGAACGUGUGUGAGAGUGGAAAGUUCACACAGUGACGGUAACUUACCAGAAAGGGACGGCUAACUACGUGCCAGCAGCCGCGGUAAUACGUAGGUCCCGAGCGUUGUCCGGAUUUAUUGGGCGUAAAGCGAG
rnacentral:rRNA from 1 species